rnacentral:lncRNA from 1 species
CAGAUGCUAAAAUUGACACCAAAAGCGUAGGUGAUGAGCUUGAAUCAGGUAAGAAUUAUAUUCUACUUCCAGCUAAAGAAGAGGAUAUAGAAGAUCAAUAGCUUAAACAAAACAGAAGGUCUUCUCAUGGACUAAAACAGUGACAGUGAGUGCAACUCUACCUAUCAUGUUCAUAUUCUAGGUAGAAACUGGGGAAAAGAGAAAAGGCGGGAAAAAGGCGUUUCUCUACAAAGAUCACACAUAAUCUUCUGUCUGCAUCUCAUUGGUCGGCAUUUAGUCACAUGGCCAUAACUACCAGCAAGGGAAGCUGGGAAAUGUAGUUUUUCAAUGGCACAUUGCUACCCUUAAUAAAAUAAGGAUAUGCUACCAACAAAGAAUGAAUAUGGGAAAGGCCCCUAGCAAUGUCUGCUGCAUCUGCCACUGUGGUUUUCUCUGAUUUCCACAGACAUUGCUCUUCCACAUAGAGCGCAUUCUGAUUCCCAAGCCACCACUCCCAAAUCACACCCAGUUUCUGCAUCUAGCUUGUGUGUGGGCAGUCUGCUCCAUCAGUCCCAGAUGUGGCUUCUCAUGGCUGGUGACCUAUGAACUAAAAGACAGGCCAUUUUUUUCCCAACCUACCCUACCUUUUCUCCUUGAGAGGAAAGAUAAAAUAACCACAAUUUAAAAAUGUCAAUCUUCCAUUCAGAAAAGGGAGGAAAGAGAAACACAGAGAUCACUGGUUUACAGUGAUGGACCCACCCUGCUAGGCAGGAGUGAAAAGGCCUCUCCGUCCGGCAGUGGACUGGGUUCCUUGGCUGGCCCAUGUGGUCCCCACCCACUGUCUCCAGGAGCAUCGCCUUGAACUGUGUCUUCAUGGCUUUUGGCUCCGCCUUCAGAAGGGUCCUCCCUGUCAAUCAUCCUCCAUUGCCACCUCUGAUGUGGGCACUAGGGAGCUGGUCCUUCCCAGAGGAUGCAUGAUUUUGACACCGUGCAGUGUGGGAUGUUGGACCAGGGAAUCCAGCAUAUUUUCGGGCUUUUGUAGUCUCAGACUGGGCCUGAGAUUUCUUUAGAAAUAUAUUAACGGUUCCUUCAACACUCCAAUGGGCAUAUAGCCUAUUUACUUCUGAUCAUUGUAAUGUGCAAAUAACCACAGCCCCAUUUCUUUGUGUCCAGAUGCAGUUUUUAGGCUUGAAUAUUCAUCUGUUUUACUCACUGGCCUCUGUCACUGAGUCUGUCCCCUUAGCUAUUAAAUUAAUGGUGACUAUGAUAACACUUUUCACCCGAUCCUUGCUAGUGCAUUGACUUGCGUUGUCUGCAUCGAGUUCUUAAAAGAUGCUUGGUAAAGUCUUGGGUCACAGUUUUAACUUCUGCUGGGGUUCCUGCUCCACAGCCCUCAUUUAGAACUGUUUCACUUUGGCUAUUGUUUAGCUUUGGGCCAUAUUUGGCUGUUUUUUAGCUUUGUAAAAAUGCUCAUUUAACGGACACAAGGCCUGGGUUAGAAAAUGUAGUAUUUCCUUCCCCCUCUGUUUGCGUAGGAGCUAGCGCUAGUGGAAGCCCAUCUCUCCCUUGCAGGAUUUUGUGGAAAGUGACGAAAAUAACUCAAACCACAUCAGUGUUCUGCUUGAUUUCCACCAUUCUUGGAUGCUAUAACUUCAGAAAGCACAUGAUCUAACUUCCCAAGGGACAGCAGGGCCUCGACCAAAUGCCGUUGUGCUGAGGGCUGCCGGCCGCCCCGCUAGGCUGCUGCACCCUCCCCGCGCUGCCCCACACCUUGCACAGAGCUCAGGCAGCAUUCUAGCACCAUCAGACAAAUUCUUCAUGAGUCAGAAAUCGCACCUGUCUCUUAAUAGCGAUCUGGCCUCAGGUGGCUGAAACACACAGGGUUGAAAUGCUGCGGUGCCUGCGCUCAUUGUGCGGUGAAGCCAUAGAGUCCGCGCUGAAACCCGGGGCGCCCGCCUCCUGUCCGCGCAGGCGCUGCACGCUGUCGCCGGGGCAGCUUCACUCAGCUUCAGCCUCUCCAUCUGCAGAGGAGGAGUAAUCCCGUGCUGCCUCAUGGGGCCGUUUCAAGAAGGAAAUGAGAUGUGGUAUAAAGUGUUAGAGGAGUAUUUAGUGUUAUUAUUAAUGUGUUUUCUCAUCUGGGAACAUGAUUUGCAUUUUAAGCAGAACUUCAACAUUUGGACUCAAAGGAGUGAUGUGGAUGGGGAGAAUUUCAGGCAUCGUGCAGGCUGGCAUUAGAAAUGCUCACCGGAAAUGGAGCACAGGCAGCAACUUCAGCCCCUAGAAUUCUUCCUCCUAUGUCACUUCCGUCCCUCAAACCCUUUCUGCAGCCCCUGUCCUCUCUCCUGCAAUGGCAGUGAGCAGGUGGUCUCCUGGUGUCUCUGGAAAAUUCCCAUAUGGAGUCCUGGUUGAGAUGAGCCAGAAGGCUAGGAAGGAGCCUACAGUCCCGGUCUCAGCGCCCAGGAGGUUUUUCUAAUGGAGUUGGCAUGCAGAAGCUGGGGCAUACCCUGGGAGCAGCCCUGUGGCUGGAUGAGGGAUGGACAGCAGCACUGGGCGGGUGGAGCCGGGUGCGAGGUCCCCACAGCCUGCCUCCCAGUCCCACUGGCCAGCCCGGGGAGGGUGCUGAAGACAGGCUUCCUCUCUGGUCAAGCUCUGGCUAGCUUGGCAAGUGCAGGCAGGACCCUGGACCUGCCAUAUGGUGCACAUUUUGAGGACAUCAUUAGCAGGUUUGGAAGGUUGUGAUUCUGGUUGUGGGAGAGAAGGAACCUGGGAGUUGAGCAGGUGGUGGGUGGAGCUAUGCAUGCAACUGAGUGUGAGGAGUGCUUUGGCCAUGCUAGGGUCUCCUCUGGGCUGGAAGCCUUGUCUUCAAGAGGGUUGGGGUAGGAGGCUUUUUAUUAUAGUGGGAAGCCUCAAGCCUGGACCUGGGAAAACACUUUCUGGGUAUGAGGAAUUAAAAUAAACCUUGAAGCACUAUUUAGGAAGAACAUAGUAUCACUUCAUAGAUAUUUUCCCCCCUAAAUGGUUACAAAGUAAAAUGGCAGAGGUACAAAGAGGAAAAUGAAAACCACCCAAUCCCUUCCCUGAGCGAUGGCCCUGUUAUCCUUGGGCUCUGUGGCCAUCUGACCUCUCUCUGGGGACAGAAGUACAUGAGGAGAGGGGCCACUUCAUAAGACGGAGAUGCUCUCUUCCUGUUCCCUGCCUCUGCAUCGUGCUGGGGAUGUCUGUCCUCAUCAACUAAGAGACCCAUGUAGACCGCAGCUCUGAGAUCUUCUAUUUUUGUAAACAGAACAGUUUGUAGGGAGAUGUGAGAUGUUAGGUGGUGCUGGAGAGCCUGGGCUUUGUCUGUUUGGACAAGGCUCCAUCAAGGCAUCCUUUGUCCGACGGUGAGGCAUCUUGAGGGCUCUGGACCCAGAGCUGGUCCUGCAAGAGUCCUGUCUGAGAGCCCAGGCCCCACUCCACUAGGAGGGACAGGAGGGAACAGAGCAGAGCUGAGUCCCUUCACCUACCCAAACCCAUACAUGUUUCUAGAGCAGAGUAACUGCUUGUGAAACAGACCAUCAGAGCACAGGGCAGCACCGAGCUGCGUUCUGCAGGGCUCGGUCUAGGUGAUCUGGAGGGCUUGGGGAGCUGGCUUCUCCCCUCAUCCAGCAUGUAGCUACCCACAGCCACCUGCAUUUCACAGGGCCAGUGCCUAGGGACAUUGGGCCAGAAGCCAGAAUUUCUUUUUUCUUUUUUUUUUUCCCCUCUAGCAUUCACUACUAGCGCAAGCUAGUGCAUCCCAAAGUUUUGGCCCUGCGUGGAUAAUCAAUCCACAAUUUAUCUUCCGUCUGUUGCCAAAGUAAUUUAGCUAAAAUGCAGAUCUCAACUGGUCACUUCCCUGCGUAAAAGCUUCAAUAGCUUUCUAUCGCCUACAGGCAAAAGUCCCUCUUCUGAAAAGCGGCUUGCAAAGCCCUAGUAGCUGGCUCCAUGCCCCCCAGCAAUACGUGGCCUCCUCAGACGCAUCUUCUAGCAAAGGAGAGCUGCUCAGUGACAUCCACAAACCGAGCUGCUUCUCACCUACCUGUUUUCCUUCUCUUUGGGAUGCCCCCCGCCCUCACCUUCUGCUUCUGGCUAACUCCUAGGCAUCCUUGAAGGCUUGGCUCAGUAUCCUCUCCUCCAGGAAGCUGUCCCUCACCUUCUCUCCUUUCCCUCCAUCCCAGUCACCAUGCACCACACCCAUAUCCCCAUUGCAUCCUGCAGCUACCUUGUGCCUGCACACGUUGGGCUGGGCAUGCAUCUCCUUCUCUCUCAAGACCUGGAUCCCUUCACUUUGUGUCUCUGGACCCCCCAGUGUGCUGAUAAUGGGGUUGGAACCCAUCAUAUUUCUCUUGAACGAGUUAAUGAUGGGACUGCUAUUUCUCUAACUGUUGCCUUGGAGGCCCUGUCACGUGCUCAUGGAAGAGAGCCAGGGGGGUGGAGGUGAUUCUUGUUACCCAGAGGACGUGGGGUCUGGAUACACGUUUCUGCCAUCUGCCAUCUGCCAGCUUCUUUCUGGUUGGUAGCUUUGGAGCCUGGUGCAGCUGGGGCCAGUCCCGAGCCUGGACUCUGCUGGGCAGUGGCAAGAGCACUGUCUGGAGCUCUCCUGAGGAGCCCACAGAUCCAACUCCCUAGGCCAAGGCUGCAGCCUGGGGCAGAGAUGCAGAGGCCUGGAGGAGCCUAGGGCACGCGGCCUGCGGGCUGGCUGGGGUUCAGAGUUCGUAUGUGUGUGGAGUGACUGGGCAGGUGUUCAGAAAUGAAGGCUGGCACUGCCAGGUAAGGCCCUUCCCUCCCUGAUGUGAGAGCCCUGGAGCCACCGCAGAGGCCCAGUCAGAUCUCUGUUCUAAUUCUGGCCUGGUGUGGAGGAUGAGGAGAGACGGCCCAGAAAGGAAGGCAGACUGUGCAGACCCCAUGUCUUCUGGCCCGCGAGGCCCUCCUCCUGUGCCUGCUUAUCUUAAAGAAUCCGGGAUAAGAGGUGACUUGGGCCUUGGCCGGGAGGCCCCUCCUCAGCUUCAGACAAGGAGGGAGCUCUGGGCAUGAGGACAUUGAGCAAGAGGCGAUGGCAGUGCCCACAACUUACCCUCAGCUCGGCUCUGUUGGGUCCGAGAAGUUGCAUGGAAAGGGCUCCUUGGGGGCCAGUUGUCAGUAAGCUGCAGAAGCCUGGAGCCGGCCAGGAAAUAACCACGUGUAGGAGCCUUCUCAGCUGAGAGGAAGGAGGACUCACGCGCGGCGAGCACAUGCUUGGAGCCAGGCACAGGUUUGAACUAAGCUAUUUCAUCUCGAUUCUUAUGACAAGCUCCACGUAGUUUGCUCCUAUUUUACAGAUGUGGAAGCUGAGGCUCAGAGAGGUUAAGCGACUUGUCCCAAAUCGCAUUGUCAAUCAGUGAAGGGGCUGGGAUUUGAGCUAGUCACCUGCCUCUAGGUUCAGUGUGCUUUCUACUCUGCUCCCCUCCAUGCCUGCCCGACCCUUUGCUGAUGACACAUUCCUGAGACCUCAAAGGAGUCCUACUUUGAAUCAUGAAUGGCCUCGCGUUUCCCCAGAGGGCAUGACGCAAGCUUCGCCACCUCACUCCCACCCUCACCACUGGCUGGUUGCUCUUAGGAAGAUGCUGUUUACAGGAUCACGCAGUGGUUCAGGCCACCACGAUGCCACUUCCCCUGCUCUUAACCCCCCACCAAACUGCAGGUGGCUUCCCUGGGAGACUCGGGGCAACACCCUCUCGUCCUGUAUGAAGCUUGUACCUUUCUCCACCCAAGUGAGUGACAGCUGGCGGGAGUUUUGCACUGUGGAACAGGGUACACAAAGACACUGGAGUGAGAAGGCAGGGGCAUGGCCAGUCUAUGUCUAGGAGGUGGUGGCUCCACCUUCCUUGUGGACUCAGCUUUGGAGUCAUGCAGGCUGCUCUCUGGGCACUCCUGUGAGCCAUUUCUUCUGCUGAUAGGGAGGAACGUCCCACUGCCCCAAGAUGGGUUCUGUGCAGAGUCUCCCCAGGGUCAAGACAGGAGCUAGAAUGUAUGUCAUAGAAGGAUGAUCUAAAUGGUGACUUCUGGCUGGUGAGGAGAGGCUAUGGCACCUCCACGGCUGGUGGCCUCUUGCUGAAGUAAGCAUGGUCAGCAUCCCCCCUGCACCCUGUGGAGGUGGCUUAAUGCAUUCCCUUGACUGCAAAGGACUCCUUGCCAAAGAGACCUUCUUCCCCAUGAGGCUGAGGCCUCCUAGGACCCUCAGUGCUCAGGAAAUUAUAACCAGCCACCCCCAUCUCCAUUCAUUGGAGAAGGAGUGACGGCCGCCUCAGUGCCAUUAACUCUGUGCUGUGAUUAAAUGGAUCCCAAGGAGACUCCUGCUCAGGGACACCCCCUGUAGGACUGAUGCCAGGGCUAGGCUUGCCGCACAGUGCUCUAUUCCUUUGGUUAUGCACCUUCCUUGGCAGAAUCCACGCUUACCAAGAGGAGUCACUCUGAGCUGCUUGCUGCCAGUCACAUGCUUAGCAGUAGAAGAUAUCUUGUGCUUGUCAGGUGACUGUGAGUGAGAGGGAAGGGGGCCCAGCGUGAAGCCAGGUGGGACGGCUUCUGCGGGGCAAGACACCCCACUGGAGGAGGCAGGGGCGCGCUGUGCAGGCCUCAGCACCAGCUCUGGCUGCUGUGGUGGGAUCUCAGAUCAGUCACUUUGCCUUUUUGGCCUCAGUUUUCUCAUCUGUACAUCAUGGAUUUGGGAUUAAAGGAUUUCUGAAGAUUUUACUCAUUCUGAGAUUAUGGUCCCUGGAAACCUUUAGGGAAAAGGGAGCUUCUUCUCUUCAUUAUUUUAACAUACUUGAUCUUUUAUGUUCUUUGGUAGGGAGAGAUGAUAGGUAGUUAGAGAAGAAGCAGCUCAGUGAAAAAGCUGAAAGCCUUGUGGAAAAAUAAGUUAAAUUGACCCACUGUGACUCCAGGGACCUGGGGAGACUUUGAUGUCCGUGUUUUUGAUUACACAUCUCUUCUCUCAGAGUGAAGAUGCGCAGUUCUAAGGAAUUAUGCCCAAUGGCAGAAUUGGCAAGGGACAGGGAACUGUCCAGCAGAGAAGCUGCUGAAACCCUUCAGGGAACAUUCCAUUCCGCCAGGGCCCGGCUCUCACGCUCUGCUCUGCAGCGCAUCCGGUGCCAAGGAGGGGAGUAGCGAACGUUGACCUUGUCCCUAAGGAGCUUACACGCAGGGAGGUCAGCACAGACACUGGAAUAUCUAGGACUCUGCUAUCGAAAAACACAAUUGCUGGCACAUGGGUUCAGAAGACAGAGAAGGAAAAGAGCUGUAAAGAGUUGGGUGGGCUGAGGUUUGAAAUGGGCUUUAAUUAUGACUGGACACAAUUUGGUGACAAAUGGGUGAAAUUUCAAGCAGAAGAGGUAGCAUGAGCAAAAAGGGGUGUGCAGUCUUUGUGAAGAGAAGGGGGAGGGAGUGGCAAGGGAAUAGGACAGAGAGGAGGAGGAGGGAGAGGAAGCCAGAGAUAAGGAGCCAGGGGGGGAAGAAAAGGGCAGAAACGAAUGUGAAGGAGAUUCUGAAGACAAGCCACUGUGGUGGUCCAGGUGGUUCCAUGGUGCCGCGCCAAGCCAGGGGCUUGGAAUUUAGUCUGGGAGGAUGGUGCUGAGUAUGGAUGAGGAAGGAGAGGAAUGGAGAGGGGAGAAACGGGAAGGUACUUCACACUGAUUAAGCAAGCUCCUCACAGGGCUAUGACUUCUCCCUUCUCAGAAGGAGGUGCCCUGUGGCAUGCCUCUAGGCCCAGAGUUAAAGAGCUGGAGCCAUUAGGAGCAGCAAGGGGCUGCCUCCCCACUUGUCUGGUUACUUCUGGUUACUUCUCCCUCAGGGUAAGUCCUCAUGAGGGAUCAUCUCUGCCCAUGGAGCUGCUUCCGCUGCCCUUAGGCUGGUGUAAGAGGAAGGCUGUGUACCAGAGGUAGAUCUUGCUCCUAGUCCACCAGCAAAACACAUCCAGUUAUUUCUAUGCCUCAGUCUCCCUUCCCCACACUGAUCUCUUUAUUCCCCUACUACCUAGAAAUGGAAGGGAGACAAUGAGGUGGGAAAUAGAGUUUUUCGAAAGGUGUUUUUUGGAUAAGACAAAGGCCUCUCAGAGCAGAGCUGGCCAUUGGAAUGGUUUCCUUUUGUUAUUUAAUACCGGGGCUUUCACACAGGAGUUUAGCCCAGCUUUUAAGUCUUCAGUAUCAAAUAGUAGUUGGUGUCACAUCCCUGCUGAAAUACAGCCAUGAAAAUGUUUCUUAGUGAUAGAUUUAGGUUGUACUCCUUAAGAAAAGCCCAAAUGUCAAGAAUUGCUUCCCACUGGUACACUUUAUUGGGGAGAAGGGCAUCUCAAAUAGAAGGAUGGUUGGUCUGUCUAGAAAUGGUAAGAAUACUACAGGUUAAAGGCAGUGGUGGUCUGGACUAAAUGACCCCUGAAACUCGGAUUUUAUGGUGUUUUCAAUCUCUGGCUGAGUACAGGUUCCUCCCUCUCCCUUUGUGCCUCCUUGGGGACCUGGGCUAUUUUCUCCUCCGUGAAAGAGAAUGGAUACAUCCAUUAUGAAAACCAAUUGAUAUAAUUUGAGCCUGCAUGCAGGUAAAAACUAUAUUAAGAAGGUUUAUAAAAUCUAACCUUCUGGCUUAACAAGCUGAUUCUCAAAGUGGCCUCUCAGACCCUGGCUGAGGGAUGGUGGUCAGGGGUUGCAGAGGGACCCGCACAGCUGCUGAGGAGGCUGUGGGACAGGAGGCGCUAUCACUGUCUACCUCUUCCAUCCAUGCACCUGUGUGCAGGUGUGAGAAGGGCACCGUGCUGCAAAGAAGGGUCCUUUCCACCCUCUGCGGGUUGCUGCCGGCUCCCCGAUGCCUGCCUCUGAGGCCUGAGCCUGGGGCUGGGGAGUGUGCUGGCCUCACCUCUGGAGGAUACUGCCUCAGUGUUACAGCCUGACCCCCCACCUUGUCAUCACUGCCUACUACAGACCAGAGGGGACGGCCACAGAGACUCUGCAACCAUGGGCUCUGCCCUUCUUCCUUCUGCCUGUGUAUCUGUGAAAAACUUUUUUUUUUUUAAAUGGAGAAAGCUACCUUGACUUCUCAGAGAGUUGAAUGGGGUCAGGGGAUAGAAUCUAUAUUUUUUAGUUAUGGGCACUUACCCAUAUUCAAAAAGAUUUGAGGAGGCUGGCAGAAUGGAGCUGGGAGAAGAAAACCCUCCCCUGGGAGGAAGCUGUCCUGUGCAUGUUGGCCAGGCUGCCUCUUUGAUUAGGGACAAUGGAAACCGGCCUGAGGGCACGGGUGAAAGCAGUUGAGUGUAGAGGAGGCUCUGCAGCAGAAGCCAGAGGACACAGGAGCCAGUGAAGACACACAAUAAGUCAGAAAGGAGGGAUCUUUGCAGCCCCAAAAGUAGAAAUUCUUACCAUCUACUGCAAAGAGCAAAAGUUGAAAAUUGGUCUGAUUUCUAUCUAAAUGUGCUUACAUAUUCGUGUUCUGUUAAAUACUUCUGUAACCUGUGUGUCUCACAUAAAUGCAGCUUUCUUUAGUUUUGGAAAUAAAUCACAUGAAUCCUGAAUAGUAGUCUUUAAUAAUUUGCUUAGUUGUAGGGCAGUGUUGUGUUUUCAGAAGGCAAGUGUAUUUGCUAGAAGAGUGAGCUGGGAGGUGUGAACCACAUCGUCACAUCUGCUGUAAGCCUAGCCGUUCAUAAUACGGAGUUACAGUUAGGACACGUCGCCCUGAAGAGCUACCAUCGAAUGUGUGCUCAUCAAAUGCCUGGCAGCGUCCUCGGUGCUUCACCUGCCAUAGCCGACAGUGGCUGACCUCCCAUGCCUGUUGCCUUUUCUUUCUGUUGGAUCAGGGAUACACUGCCAUGUGUGUUAAGAAAAGCUGGCCUUACCUACAGGGCUGGCCAGUCCCGGUCACGUUUCUAGUAAGCCAUUGCCUUACAUAAGGGUAACGGCAUGGGACGCUAUCUUAGCCAAUGUGAUAAAAGUGGACAUGAGGUGAGAGGCUUCAGAGAGAGGUUUUAAAAAAGAGACAAAAGCAGGACGUUGCCUCUCUUCCUCCUCUCCACGUGUCCUACCCGGAUGUGAAGCCAAAACAGAUGCAGGCUUAGUGCAACCAUGGGGAACCCAGCAUAAGCACAGAUUCAACAGCAGAAGAGUGGCAGAGGGAGAAGGUGAAAGGAACCUAGGUUUUCCUGUCCUUGUUGAGUCAUUCAGUUAAAAAUCCCUGGAAUUUUCCUCUCUCCGGCAGUGUGUUUUGUGGGAUAAUGAGUUGCCUUAUUGGGGUUGGCUUGCUAGUCGGGAUGUUUCGCUCCCAUCAACAUCCAUACGCUUGCUCUGUGAACCAAUGACCUGAUGAGGUAGUAUUAGCACCACCAUCAUUAUGCUGAGGAUGAGAUUUAUGGCACAGUGGUUCAGUAGCUUGCCCAAGGCCAUGCGGCUGGUAGGUUCUGGAGGAGGGCUCAGGGCACCCCCUGAGCUACCCCUGCUGGCCAUUGCACCACCCCAUAAAGCUGCUGGCAGUCACUUCUCUGAGGGGUUAGCAUGUAAGAAAUGUCCUCCUGAAUGCUGGCCAGACAAAUGGAAAUCUGCCAGGGUUGGGUACCCCCAUGACAGCAGCCAGCCUGCCCUCUUAGUCCCUGACAGCUGCAGUGACAGCAUCUGUGAUUGCAAAGCGUGACAAUUUAUAUCUCUCAUUUCAUCACACCAUCUAUCAGCAGACAGUCAGGCUUUAAAAAUCAAUCCCACACUGACUCAGUCCCCAGCAGAGAUGGCCUCUGACAACAGUAUCCACACUGCAGGCUGGACAAGGGCCCUAUUAAUUUUGAGACUCAGCCAAAUUUCCUUCUGACCCUAAGCUGGUGAAUCCCUGCUCCUUUGCUUUGGUUGGGGUUGGUGUGAGCUAAGGCUGUGAUCCCAUUUGCUCCUAUGGCCUCCAGGUGGCCUGGGCCUCCAUGAAUGGGCCACAUGGUCAUACUGAAUGCUUGAUUACACUCAGACCUAGCAGUCGUCUGGGCGCAGCUGGUUUAUGGAUCACUUUGUCACAAUGUUCCAUCCUUCCAGGUCCCCAUCCCCGCGGUGGGAAAACAUUGCUUUAGGCAGUGCUAGAGGACUUCAGCAGGCAUUGGCAGCUUCUGGAUUCAGGAUUAGAACAAAGAAGGAGGAGUCACAGCAAAGAUAGGAACAGAAGGCAGAGAGAACAGACAGAUGGGGGUGUUUGAGAAGGAGGGCCUUUGAGACCUCAGGGAGUGGGAGACACUGGCUCGAGAAUAAUAAUAAUGGCAAUUUCUCUCAUCUGUGUUUUCAGGGCAUGGACUGGAACUCCCAAUACCCCUGACAUGGGCUGAGUCAACGUGGUCAUGAACAUGUGACAGGAGGCAGCAGAAGUUGCAGAGAAGAGUGAGGCACGUUUGAAAAAGGCUGAAAAAUGUUUCUGUCCAGGCAAGGGUGUGUGCUGAAUGACUCAAGGAUUUUUUGGAGAGAAUUGGAGUGUCUCACCAGAGGAGACCACGUCUGAAGGGCUUUGCAUCCCUCCUUGGACAUGUCUAAUACCUAACACUCAGAAAGCAUCCAGUAAAUAUUCGUGGAAAGAAAGGAGUGGAGAAGGGGAGAAAGGGGAAAGGGAGUAGGCGAGAGAGAAGAAAGACUCUGCUUCUUGCCCAGGGCCUGGCAUGGGGCGGAGGCAAAGCAGUGGGGUCCUCAGCUAUGUCCCACUGUGAGUGCACAGCGAGUCCUGACCUUCAGAGGGUGCAGCCCGAGGGGCCCUGGCCUGUCUGAAGGGUGCGCCAGCCGAGUGGCCUGCUCUGACCACCAGGCUCACCCAUGACUACCUGGGUGGCUACAGCCAGUUCCUGACAAUGAGUACAGCACUCAGUUAUCGGGGCCCUUCCACCCACACGCUGUCCACUUCCUGGGGUACUGCUGUGGGCAUGUGAGUGCUUGCUCCCCGGGGCACUGCUGUGGGCAUGCGAGUGCUUGCUCCCCGGGGCACUGCUGUCCACUUCCUGGGGUACUGCUGUGGGCAUGCGAGUGCUUGCUCCCCGGGGCACUGCUGUGGACAUGUGAUAGCUUGCUCCCCAGCUCCACUAGUGACACUGGCGGCCCCUCGCUGGGGCCUUCCCCGCCUGCUCCGCUCCAUUACCGCUGCCGGGCUCCUCACGUCUCUCCUUGCUGCUUCCUGCACUGGGGUGAGGAGAGUGGGGCUGGUCCCCUUGAGACCGGAGAAGCUCCAGGCUUUUAAGGAAAACUGCCAGGGACGAAGAGAAGAUAUCACUUCCCCACGUGGUUGGCUUCCAGAUUCAGAAGGAAUGUCUGUCCUUGUGGAUUCCGUACCAGAUGACCCCAGAUGCUGCCUCAGUACUAGGUCCCUGUGGCUCUGGAGCCUUUGCUGGGUCUGGGCAGUGUCUCUUCCUCUCCAGUUCAUCCUUGGGUCUCUUCACCCUUGCCAGGGGCAGGCUUCCUGGUGAGAGGUCGACCUCCUGCAUGAAGGCUCUCAAGAGGCCAGUUCAAAGCCAAGCUCCGGGUCUGUGCCUGUGGGGCUGCUCCUCGAUCAGGAGAUGGUCACUCCCCUCCUGGUCUGUAUCUGUGGGAUUCUCCUCCAUCAGGAGAUGGUCUCUCCCCUCCUGGUCUAUACCCGUGGGAUUCUCCUCCAUCAGGAGAUGGUCACUCCCCAUCCUGGUCUAUACCCGUGGGAUUCUCCUCCAUUAGAUGGUCACUCCCCUCCUGGUCUAUUCCCGUGGGGCUGCUCCUCCAUCAGGAGGUGGUCACUCCCCCUCCUGGUCUAUACCCGUGGGGCUGCUCCUCCAUCAGGAGAUAGUCACUCCCCCUCCUGGUCUAUACCCGUGGGAUUCUCCUCCAUCUGGAGAUGGUCACUCCCCUCCUGGUCUAUACCCAUGGGAUUCUCCUCCAUCUGGAGAUGGUCACUCCCCUCCUGGUCUAUACCCAUGGGAUUCUCCUCCAUCUGGAGAUAGUCACUCCCCUCCUGGUCUAUACCCGUGGGGUUCUCCUCAAUCAGGAGGUGGUCACUCCCCUCCUGGUCUAUACCCGUGGGAUUCUCCUCCAUCAGGAGAUGGUCACUCUCCCUCCUGGUCUAUACCCGUGGGGCUGCUCCUCCAUCAGGAGAUGGUCACUCCCCUCCUGGUCUAUACCUGUGGGAUUCUCCUCCCUCAGAAGAUGGUCACUCCCCCUCCUGGUCUAUACCCAUGGGAUUCUCCUCCCUCAGAAGAUGGUCACUCCCCCUCCUGGUCUAUACCCGUGGGGCUGCUCCUCCAUCAGGAGAUGGUCACUCUCCCUCUCGGUUGCUCAGUCCAAAAACAACCUCUCUGGAAAACUGCGUGGAAUUUUUUUUUAAAGAAUUGAAACUAGAACUAGCAUUUGAUCCAGCCAUCUGCCUACUGGGAAUACACCCAAAGAAAAAUAAAUCAUUAUAUCAGAAAGAUAGAAUAUGCAUGUGGAUGUUCAUUGCAGCACCAUUUACUAUAGCAAAGAUGGGCAGUUGAGCUAAGUGUCCAACAGUGGUAGACUGGAUAAAGAGAAUGUGUUACACACACAGCAUGGAAUAUUACUCAGGCAUAGCAAAGAAUGAAAUCAUGCCUUUUGCAGCAACAUGGUUGGAGGUGGAGGUCAGGAGUUAGAGACCAGCCUGGCCAACAUGGUGAAAUCGUGUCUCUACUAAAAAUACAAAAAUUAGCCGGGCAUGGGGGUGCACACCUGUAGUCCCAGCUACUCUGGAGGCUGAGGCAGGAGAAUCGCUUGAACCCAGGAGGUGGAGAUGGCAGUGAGCUGAGAUCACACCACUGCACUCCAGCCUGGGCAACAGAGUGAAAUCCUGUCUCAAAAACAAAAAUAAAAACAAAAAAAGCAUACAAACCACAGGAGCUCCUCUUGGUCCCCCUUUGUCUUUCAUUCCACCUCCAGAAAUCCCAGCAGAAUCACCUUCAAAAACUCCUAGAAUCCAAUUUUUCCCCUCCAUUGCUACUGCCCUGAUCUGAGCCUCCAUAACCCUUACCCAAAUGCUUCCUAAACGUAUCCUGGCUGGUGCUGCUGAAUUCCAUGUCUUUCCAGCUGCCCUUUAAAAUACGGUAGGAGGCAAGUCUUUUCUCAAAACCCUCCAGUGGCUUCUCUCUCAGAGUUAAGAUCCUGCAGUGGCCUUCCUGGCCUCAGGUAGUGUCUGCUGUCCUGUACCCUCGGCCACUAUACUCCAGCCACAUGGCUUUGUGUUUCCCUUGGACAUAUCCAGCAUGUUUCUGCCCCACGGUUUUGGCACUUGCUGUCCUUUCUGCCUGGAGCUCCUUCUCCUCCCUCUGCACUGAAGACCCUCCCUUCCUUUCAGGAUGGCAGAGACAUUAUGCUGUCAUAACCACACCCCAUAUUCACCCUUACACGAUGUGUCCCUCUCUGGCCAGCUAGGGGCUCAGCUCCAUGAGCCCCUUGUCCUGGCAACAAAGCUGGCUGGGGCGGCCACCUGAAGUAUGUCUCAUGGAGCUGACUCAAUGAGAGACACAGUUCAUUCCAUGCACAGUCCACGCCACAGUAAGUCACGUGGCCAGCGCUGACUUCCCCUGCACAGGAAGAACCUGCACCCACCACCCGCGGAGAAGGAUCUAGAGCUGGGAUGACUGAGCAGGAUGCUAACAACCUCAAAGUUCUUCUUAGACCUCAUGUCUUGAACAGCCCUAGGCAACAUAGCAACACACGCCAUGACAACCCCACAAGAAGGCAACCCGUCCUCUGACAGCUUCUGGUGACAAAGCCACCCCGCUUGUGACAACCUCAGGUCACACAGCAGCUCCUCCCCUGACAACCUAAGGUCACACAACAACUUCUCCUUUUAAAGUCUCAGGUGACACAGCAGACUCUCCCCUGACAAACUCAGGUCACACAGUAACCCUUCAGCUGACCUCAGGUGACACAGCCACCCCUCCCCUGACAACCUCAGGUCACACAGCCACCCCUCCCCUGACAACCUCAGGUCACACAGCCACCCCUCCCCUGACAACCUCAGGUCACACAGCUACCCUUCAACUGACAACCUCAGGUCACACAGCCACCCCUCCCCUGACAACCUCAGGUCACACAGCCACCCCUCCCCUGACAACCUCAGGUCACACAGCCACCCCUCUCCUGACAACUUCAGGUCACACAGCCACCCCUCCCCUGACAACCUCAGGUCACACAGCCACCCCUCUCCUGACAACUUCAGGUCACACAGCCACCCCUCCCCUGACAACCUCAGGCCACACAGCCACCCCUCACCUGACAAUCUCAGGUGACACAGCCACCCCUCCCCUCACAACCUCAGGUCACACAGCCACCCCUCCUCAGACAACUUCUGACAUAGCAACUCCUUGCCUGACAACCCUAGGUAACAUAGCAACCCUCCCUUGACAACCCAUGUGACAUGGCAAUGCUUCUCCUGACAGCCACAUGUCAGCAACCUCUGCCUGACAACCCAGGUGACAUAACAGCACCCCCCGACAACCGCAUGUUACCUUGCCACCCUCCCAUACCGACUGUAUGUGGGUAUCCCCUCCUACCCCGCCUUGGGAGCCCCAUGUGAGGUAGCCAGCCUUUCCCUGGCCCUGGGCCCUCCAUUUCUGCUUGCUGUCUCCUCUGUUCCUCCCAAGAACUCACUGCUCUACCGUGUAAUCUCUUGUUUCUCUGCUGUCUUAGUCCGCUUGGGCUGCCGGAGGAGCACACCUUGGGCAGGGAGGCUUAGAUGCACCUGUGCAUGGUUCUGGAGGCCCAGG